GCGAGUAUGGCCCUCACGGGUCUAAUCCACCAUAAACACCUUUGCGAACCAGUCAGGGGGACUCGGCCGUGAAAGCCCAGGCGAUUAGCGGAAGGGCCCUCCUUUGCAAACCCGUUUAGAAGUCUUGAAAGUACUUUUGUAUAAUCUAGUA
rnacentral:misc_RNA from 1 species